rnacentral:rRNA from 1 species
UACAGAGGUCUCGAGCGUUGUUCGGAUUCAUUGGGCGUAAAGGGUGCGUAGGCGGCGUGGCAAGACUGAUGUGAAAUCCCGGGGCUCAACCCCGGAACUGCAUUGGAUACUGCCAUGCUAGAGUACUGGAGAGGAGAUUGGAAUUUACGGUGUAGCAGUGAAAUGCGUAGAUAUCGUAAGGAAGACCAGUGGCGAAGGCGAAUCUCUGGACAGUUACUGACACUGAGGCACGAAGGCCAGGGGAGCAAACGGG